GAUGAACGCUGGCGGCGUGCCUAAUACAUGCGAGUCGAGCGAACAGAUGAGGAGCUUGCUCCUCUGACGUUAGCGGCGGACGGGUGAGUAACACGUGGAUAACCUACCUAUAAGACUGGGAUAACUUCGGGAAACCGGAGCUAAUACCGGAUAAUAUAUUGAACCGCAUGGUUCAAUAGUGAAUGACGGUUUUGCUGUCACUUAUAGAUGGAUCCGCGCCGCAUUAGCUAGUUGGUAAGGUAACGGCUUACCAAGGCAACGAUGCGUAGCCGACCUGAGAGGGUGAUCGGCCACACUGGAACUGAGACACGGUCCAGACUCCUACGGGAGGCAGCAGUAGGGAAUCUUCCGCAAUGGGCGAAAGCCUGACGGAGCAACGCCGCGUGGGUGAUGAAGGUCUUCGGAUCGUAAAACUCUGUUAUUAGGGAAGAACAAAUGUGUAAGUAACUAUGCACGUCUUGACGGUACCUAAUCAGAAAGCCACGGCUAACUACGUG
rnacentral:rRNA from 1 species